AUUGAACGCUGGCGGCAGGCCUAACACAUGCAAGUCGAGCGAGCGGCGGACGGUUGCGUAAUGUAUGGGGACUGCCCGAUAGAGGGGGAUAACUACUGGAAACGGUAGCUAAUACCGCAUACUAUCGGAUAACCCAUAUGGUAUUAGCUAGUGGGUGAGGUAAUGGCUCACCUAGGCGACGAUCCCUACCUGGUCUGAGAGGAUGAUCAGCCACACGGGGACUGAGACACGGCCCAGACUCCUACGGAGGCAGCAGUGGGGAAUAUUGGAAAAUGGGCGCAAGCCUGAUACAGCCAUGCCGCGUGAAUGAAGAAGGCCCUAGGGUUGUAAAGUACUUUCAGUAGGGAGGCGUUACCGACAGAAGAAGCACCGGCUAACUCCGUGCCAGCAGCCGCGGUAAUUC
rnacentral:rRNA from 1 species